rnacentral:rRNA from 1 species
UGCAAGUCGAACGAAGUAGCAAUACUUAGUGGCAGACGGGUGAGUAACAUGUAGGUAUCUGCCCUUUGGCCUGGAAUAACACGAGGAAACUUGUGCUAAUACCGGAUAAGUCUUUACAGAGAAAGCUUUAUGCACCAUUGGAUGAGCCUGCACUUGAUUAGUUUGUUGGUGGGGUAAUGGCCUACCAAGACUGUGAUCAAUAGCUGAUUUGAGAGGAUGAUCAGCCACAUUGGGACUGAGACACGGCCCAAACUCCUACGGGAGGCAGCAGUGGGGAAUCUUGCACAAUGGAGGAAACUCUGAUGCAGCGAUGCCGCGUGAGUAAAGAAGGCCUUUGGGUUGUAAAGCUCUUUCGUCGGGGAAGAAAAUGACUGUACCCGAAUAAGAAGGUCCGGCUAACUUCGUGCCAGCAGCCGCGGUAAUACGAAGGGACCUAGCGUAGUUCGGAAUUACUGGGCUUAAAGAGUUCGUAGGUGGUUGAAAAAGUUAGUGGUGAAAUCCCAGAGCUUAACUCUGGAACUGCCAUUAAAACUUUUCAGCUAGAGUAUGAUAGAGGAAAGCAGAUUUUCUAGUGUAGAGGUGAAAUUCGUAGAUAUUAGAAAGAAUACAAUUGCGAAGGCAGCUUUCUGGAUCAUUACUGACACUGAGGACCGAAAGCAUGGGUAGCGAAGA